rnacentral:tRNA from 1 species
GCCCCGGUGGUGAAACCGGUAGACACAGCGGACUUAAAAUCCGCCGCUAUCCCGAAAGGGGGCGUGCCGGUUCGAGUCCGGCCCGGGGCACCA